rnacentral:rRNA from 1 species
UCUUCCGCAAUGGACGAAAGUCUGACGGAGCAACGCCGCGUGAGUGAUGAAGGUUUUCGGAUCGUAAAACUCUGUUGGUAGGGAAGAANNAGUAUCGUUCGCAUAGGGCGGUACCUUGACGGUACCUAACCAGAAAGCCACGGCUAACUACGUGCCAGCAGCCGCGGUAAUACGUAGGUGGCAAGCGUUGUCCGGAAUUAUUGGGCGUAAAGCGCGCGUAGGCGGUUUCUUAAGUCUGAUGUGAAAUCUUGCGGCUCAAACGCAAGCGGCCAUUGGAAACUGGGAGACUUGAGUGCAGAAGAGGAGAGUGGAAUUCCACGUGUAGCGGUGAAAUGCGUAGAGAUGUGGAGGAACACCAGUGGCGAAGGUGACUCCCUGGUCUGUAACUGACGCUGAGGCGCGAAAGCGUGGGGAGCGAACAGG